GUGCCAGCCGCCGCGGUAAUACGUAGGCAGCAAGCGUUGUUCGGAAUUACUGGGCGUAAAGAGUGUGUAGGCGGUGCUCCAAGUCUGGUGUGAAAUCUCCCGGCUUAACUGGGAGGGUGCAUUAGAAACUGGAAUGCUAGAGGAUGGGAGAGGUAAGCGGAAUUCCUGGUGUAGCGGUGAAAUGCGUAGAUAUCAGGAGGAACACCUGUGGUGUAGACAGCUUACUGGACCAUUUCUGACGCUGAGACACGAAAGCGUGGGUAGCAAACAGGAUUAGAAACCCUCGUAGUCC
rnacentral:rRNA from 1 species